rfam:Lupinus angustifolius cultivar Tanjil chromosome LG15, whole genome shotgun sequence.
AGGUGCGAUCGUACUAGCACUAAUGCACUAGAUCCCAUUAGAACUCCGCAGUGAAGCGUGUUUGGGCGGGAGUAGUACUAGGAUGGGUGACCUCCUGGGAAGUCCUCGUAUUGCAACUC